GUGGAUUGGCCACAUCUCCUAUGGGUGCUUCCAUAUUCUUGUGGAUUGGCCACAUCUCCUAUGGAUACCUAGCGUGGAACUACUGCCACACAUACUUAUCAUCAGUGGGUAACCCCUACUAGGCUUCUACCCCAUAUUCUUGUGGAUUGGCCACAUCUCCUAUGGGUGCUUCCAUAUUCUUGUGGAUUAGCCACAUCUCCUAUGGAUACCUAGCGAGAACUACUGACACACAUACUUUCCUUAGACUCUAUAUGCUUCCCCACCCAUGCUUAACUGUAACAUCAUUCUUUCAUACUUUUACUUAUCAUUUCACAUCCUUAUCACUUUCACUUAUCCCUUCCCAUUCCCAUUUACUUUCCUUUUUCAUUUAGACUUGUACUUGGACUCAAUCACUAGACGCCACCCGUUAUCGGUGUCACACACAAUACACAUCGC
rnacentral:lncRNA from 1 species